rnacentral:rRNA from 1 species
UUCCGGUUGAUCCUGCCGGAAGUUACUGCUAUCGAGAUUCGACUAAGCCAUGCGAGUUGAAUGUUCUUCGUGAACAUGGCGGACUGCUCAGUAACACGUGGACAACCUACCCUUGGGUCCGGCAUAAUCCUGGGAAACUGGGAAUAAUUCCGGAUAGGUCACCGAUGCUGGAAUGCGCGGUGGCCGAAAGCUCCGGCGCCCGAGGNNGGGUCUGCGGCCUAUCAGGGUUGUAGUGGGUGUAACGUACCUACUAGCCUACGACGGGUACGGGUUGUGAGAGCAAGAGCCCGGAGAUGGAUUCUGAGACACGAAUCCAGGCCUACGGGGUGCAGCAGGCGCGAAAACUUUACAAUGCGGGAAACCGUGAUAAGGGGAUCUCGAGUGCCAGCAUAUAAUGUUGGCUGUCCAGAUGCCUAAAUAGCAUCUGUUAGCAAGGGNNGGGCAAG